AUUGAACGCUGGCGGCAGGCCUAACACAUGCAAGUCGAGCGAGCGGGGGACGGGGGAGGAAGGUCUGGGAAACUGCCUGAUGGAGGGGGAUAACUACUGGAAAAGGUAGCUAAUACCGCAUACCAUCAGAUAUGCCCAGAUGGGAGUGGCAAGUAGGUGGGGUAACGGCUCACCUAGGCGACGCUCCCUAGCUGGGCUGAGAGGAUGACCAGCCACCCUGGACCUGAGACACGGUCCAGACUCCUACGGGAGGCAGCAGUGGGGAAUAUUGCACAAUUGGGGCAAUCCUGAUGCAGCCAUGCCGCGUGUGUGAAGAAUGCCUUCGGGUUGUAAAGCACUUGCAGCGGGGAGGCGUUACCCGCAGAAGAUGCACCGGCUAACCCCGGGCCAGCAGCCGCGGUAAUAC
rnacentral:rRNA from 1 species